rnacentral:rRNA from 1 species
CAGCAGCCACGGGAACACGGAGGGUGCAAGCGUUAAUCGGAAUUACUGGGCGUAAAGCGCACGCAGGCGGUCUGUCAAGUCGGAUGUGAAAUCCCCGGGCUCAACCUGGGAACUGCAUUCGAAACUGGCAGGCUAGAGUCUUGUAGAGGGGGGUAGAAUUCCAGGUGUAGCGGUGAAAUGCGUAGAGAUCUGGAGGAAUACCGGUGGCGAAGGCGGCCCCCUGGACAAAGACUGACGCUCAGGUGCGAAAGCGUGGGGAGCAAACAGGAUUAGAUACCCCCGUAGUCCAUGUCUCUUAUAA